rnacentral:rRNA from 1 species
CCUACGGGAGGCAGCAGUGGGGAAUUUUCCGCAAUGGGCGAAAGCCUGACGGAGCAAUACCGCGUGAGGGAAGAAAGCCUACUGGGUUGUAAACCUCUUUUUUCAGGGAGGAAAAAAAUGACGUGUACCUGAAGAAUAAGCAUCGGCUAACUCCGUGCCAGCAGCCGCGGUAAGACGGAGGAUGCAAGUGUUAUCCGGAAUUACUGGGCGUAAAGCGUCUGUAGGUGGUUUAAUAAGUCAACUGUUAAAUCUUGAGGCUUAACUUCAAAACAGCAGUCGAAACUAUUAGACUAGAGUAUAGUAGGGGUAAAGGGAAUUUCCAGUGGAGCGGUGAAAUGCGUAGAUAUUGGAAAGAACACCGAUGGCGAAAGCACUUUACUGGGCUAUUACUAACACUCAGAGACGAAAGCUAGGGUAGCAAAUGGGAUUAGAUACCCCAGUAGUCCUAGCUGUAAACAAUGGAUACUAGAUGUUGAACAGAUCGACCUGUGCAGUAUUAAAGCUAACGCGUUAAGUAUCCCGCCUGGGAAGUAUGCUCGCAAGAGUGAAACUCAAAUGAAUUGACGG